rfam:Salmo salar isolate Sally breed double haploid chromosome ssa12, whole genome shotgun sequence.
CUCACCUAGCUAUGUAAGUCUCUCUGGAUAAGAGCGUCUGCUAAAUGACUGAAA